AGGGAAUCUUCCACAAUGGGCGCAAGCCUGAUGGAGCAACGCCGCGUGAGUGAGGAAGGCCUUCGGGUCGUAAAGCUCUGUUGCCAGGGAAGAAUAAGAGCCAGUUAACUGCUGGCUCGAUGACGGUACCUGAGAAGAAAGCCCCGGCUAACUACGUGCCAGCAGCCGCGGUAAUACGUAGGGGGCAAGCGUUGUCCGGAAUUAUUGGGCGUAAAGCGCGCGCAGGCGGUUUCUUAAGUCUGGUGUUUAAGUGCGGGGCUCAACCCCGUGACGCACUGGAAACUGGGAGACUUGAGUGCAGAAGAGGAGAGCGGAAUUCCACGUGUAGCGGUGAAAUGCGUAGAGAUGUGGAGGAACACCAGUGGCGAAGGCGGCUCUCUGGCCUGUAACUGACGCUGAGGCGCGAAAGCGUGGGGAGCGAAC
rnacentral:rRNA from 1 species